GAUGAAGAACGCAGCGAAAUGCGAUAAGUAAUGCGAAUUGCAGAAUUCCAGUGAGUCAUCGAAUCUUUGAACGCACAUUGCGCCCUUUGGUAUUCCUUAGGGCAUGCCUGUUCGAGCGUCAUUUAAACCUUCAAGCUCAGCUUGGUGUUGGGUGACUGUCCGCUUCACCGCGGACUCGCCUCAAAAUUAUUGGCGGCCGGUACAUUGGCUUCGAGCGCAGCAGAAACGCGAACUCGGGCCCGUCGUAUUGGCUCCCAGAAGCUAUCUUCACAAUUUUGACCUCGGAUCAGGUAGGGAUACCCGCUGAACUUAAGCAUAUCAAUAAGCGGAGGA
rnacentral:misc_RNA from 1 species